rnacentral:rRNA from 1 species
GACGUAGGAGGCGAGCGUUGUCCGGAUUCAUUGGGCGUAAAGAGCACGCAGGCGGUUUGGCAAGUCGGAUGUGAAAACCCGAAGCUCAACUUCGGGCCUGCAUCCGAAACUGCCCGACUAGAGGUAGGUAGGGGAGAUCGGAAUUCCUGGUGUAGCGGUGAGAUGCGCAGAUAUCAGGAGGAACACCGGUGGCGAAGGCGGAUCUCUGGGCCUUACCUGACGCUCAGGUGCGAAAGCGUGGGUAGCAAACAGG